rnacentral:rRNA from 1 species
UAAGAGUUUUGAUCAUGGCUCAGAUUGAACGCUGGCGGCGUGCUUUAACACAUGCAAGUCGAGCGGUAACAGGCGUAGCAAUACGUGCUGACGAGCGGCGAACGGGUGCGUAAUACAUGGGAAUCUGCCCUUUGGUGGGGAAUAACCCGGCGAAAGCCGGGCUAAUGCCGCAUGAGAUCUUCGGAUGAAAGCGGGGGAUCGUAAGACCUCGCGCCGAUGGAUGAGCCCAUGUCGGAUUAGCUAGUUGGUGAGGUAACGGCUCACCAAGGCGACGAUCCGUAGCUGGUCUGAGAGGACGGCCAGCCACACUGGGACUGAGACACGGCCCAGACUCCUACGGGAGGCAGCAGUGGGGAAUAUUGGGCAAUGGGCGCAAGCCUGACCCAGCCAUGCCGCGUGAGUGACGACGGCCUUAGGGUUGUAAAGCUCUUUUGGCGGGGACGAUAAUGACGGUACCCGCAGAAUAAGCCCCCGGCUAACUUCGUGCCAGCAGCCGCGGUAAUAC